CUGAUACUAACAAACAUAUGAUCAAAUGUAUUGUCUUGUGACAGAAUGAUGCUGACAUUGGAAUUAUUACAAUGUUCUUCUAAUGCAUCACAAAAGCUGAAGAACAUUGGCACAUCCAGAUACUUUCCGCAGGUGCUGGAGCUAUAGGCAAUUUAAUGGAAAACAGAAAGGAAAACGCCGCACACUGCUGCUCAUGCUCCCAGGAAGUGAUGUCACUGAGCACUGCCCCUAUAAAUAGGACCUUCCACCCCCACCUGGGACAUGGAUGCCUGAUGAAGACGAAAGGGUCGAAACGUUGUUAUAAAUAAAUAUCACCUGGGAGCAUGA